AACACAUGAUUUAUUAGUUAACAUGGCAUACUGUGUAGAUCCAAUCUCAAAAAUAUAGUUGAUCAAUUUACUAUGGCAUAUUUGGCUUCAAUGGUUUUACUACCUUUGAGAUUGACGUGCUCUUUGAAAAUUCAAUCACAUUAACAUGGGCAGAAGCCCUGUCAAAGAAGUACCCAAGAUAUUUUUCACAAAUGUAGCAUAUCCAUUAUUCCAUGUCUCUCAUUAUAGAGUAUGAGUUAUGACUAAGAAAAAAAAAACUUGCAUAGGUUCUAGAGUACUGCUGCACACUUUUCCCAACUUGGCUAUUACCACAGAUUUGUCUGAUUCAACUGAUUUACACACAAGUGCAAACAAGUUUAUAUUAUGUUAUGUGGUUAAUCCCCCUAUUGAAGAGCCUAUAAAUGGACCUGGAGAGGGAUGAGAGGGGAUCAGAAAACAUAAACAAGAAAGCAAAGCUCAUUCAGCCUCCUCAGGGGUGAUCUUGCAGCUGCCUGUUUCAUCAGUGUGCGUUCCCUUUAUGUUUUUAUUUAAGACAUAGGGUAUGAGGAAGAAGCUGAUUGAAGAGUCCCUGAAAUCAUGAGAAAAGUGAAGUCAAAAGCCAUGAAAGAUUCUUCUAAGCCUAGCAAAAGUUGAAAAAGGAGUGGGGGGGGAUAACUUUGUUGCCUAUGGUUUUUCAAAUGCACACUCAAUGGCUAAAUCAAAGCACAAUAUUGAGAGAAGAAAAUAUCAAUCCAGCGAUAGAGAGGAAUUAUGAAGAAUUAGGCUGGGGUUGAUAAUGAGGCACAUAUUCAUAUUCACUUUUGCAGCUUCUUCUUACACCAACUCCAGAUGGAGAAGCGCUUUUAGGUGGGAGCCAAUCACUUCCUGCCAUUGAGUGCCCUGGUAUUUCUUCUUGGCUGGUAGCCGGAUUUUCUGAAGAAGGAAUUCGAGGAGGCAAAGACGGCGGCUGAAUAGGAGUGCUCGAGCUGGUUUUUGACCACGAAUCGAGGACGAGUGCCUUUGAGACGAAGCCGGAGAAACUGGGUGUUUAGUCUUAAGUAUAACAGCGGAGGUUUGUUUUUAUGUUCCUGAUUUUUUUCUCUUAUUAUUUUUCACUUGGGGGGUUUCACUGCAUAUUUUCUUUGAUAUUCUGCACUAUGUGUUUCUUUUACAAGUGGUCUACCAUAAUUUCCAGUCAUUAAUAUCAGGUGGAUAUACUUGAUUUCAUCAGCUGAAUGUGUCUUCUACAAAUUACGUGGUUUAUUUCAAAUGCAAUUUACUUUGUUUUUUCACUAUAAUUUUGCCAUCUGAAUCUGAUGUAUAGUUGCGGAACUUUGUACCCUAUGAUAAUUCUCAUGGCUAGAAUUUUAUCAUCUUUAUUUAUUAAAUUACAUUUCUAUGACAAUGUUUUGACAUGGGUUUUGAUGAUCAUUGAUCAAGCUAAAAGAGGCUGAUGCAGUUGCAUUGUGAGGUAUCUGCUAUGCACUUGAAGUCCUCUGGAAUUCGUUUCAAUAACAAGACCAUUGAUCUUUUGGACAUAUUAACUUGCUCUACUCAUGGUUUUUGUUUCUGUUUCCAUCCCACUGCAUAAUUCUUUUCUAAAAUCUUGAUAUAUGCAGUGAAUCCAGAUCCCAGAUGGAUCAGAUUAAUUUUCUCUUAUAUCAGGUCAGCCCCUUCCUAUGUGAUUUUUUAUUAAGUUUGCAAUUUCAAAAUCUAGAUUAACCCUUUCUGCUCAUCUUUAAUGUUUAAAGUUUCAUUGUUAAUGGCUGUUUAUUAUCUCUCUGAAAUAACAUUCACCAUUGCGGAAGUGAGACCUUAGUAGAGAACACCAAAGGAACCCAAGAAGAGAACAUGUGUACUGCUCAUCUUCAAUCUUUGAAGUUUCAUAUUUGUUGAUUUCAGUUCAGAUUUUUUGUUUUCAUUUAUUUUGUGUUUGUAUAGGUUGAAAGGAAACUUUAGUAGAGAACACCAAAGGAACCCAAGAAGUGAGAGCGAAGAAGUCAGAAGCGGAAAAUCUGAAGGAGGAGAAAAAACCUAAAGAGAAUAUUAGAGUAUUUAGAAUACUGUUACUACAAGUCAGUUUGACAGCAAUCCUGUACAUCUGCCACUUUCCAUUAGCAUUAUGUUAGAAGAUGGAUCCCAAACUUUUGAGGAACUAGACCUACGCUAGGAAGCACAACAAGAAGAGCACUGAAACCGCCACUGAAGAAGAGUCAAGUGCUGCUCACUGAUGGAGCUAUUAGGAUCCUCACAUAUGAUUUCUCUGAGACUCAGGUAAGUUUGCUUAUCUUAUCCUUAGUGUCAAGGUCUUCCUCAACAAAACUUUGCUCUCUAUUUCUCUCGCUCACACUGUUUCUCUGUUUCAACAGUGCGAGAGAAAAAUUGGAAACUGAUUUAUUUAUUUAUCCCAUCUUGCAUUUGAUGCAUGGAGCAUGUUGUCGAGGGUUUCUUUAGUCAAUUUUUCAUCGCGGUAUGUUCUGUUUCCAGUGAAUUGCAUGCUAUCACUGACUUUGUUUUUUGACAUUUUUACCAGCCUUCUACAUGGUAAUAGCGGAGAGAACAAAAGGGCAAGAGCAGUUCUACGUGACGAAGCUCGUCUGCACUAAGGCCUACAUGAUCGCUCGGGUGAAGUGGCUCGAUGACAAGCGUUCCCUUGACGCGGACCUUUGGUGGAGGAGAAAGUAGGUCAUUGAUGCAGAUCUUCUCGCACCAUCAUUUUAGAAGGCUCGCUGGCCUGAACGAACGACGAUGAUGACAAUUAUGCAUAUUAGGCUUCAUGUUAACGCAUGUGUUAAAGGAUCUGUGUCAUUUAAGAGGUUUCAUAUUAGGUUGGGUGCUUUAAUAAUAUUUUGACACUGUGUUAAAAAUAUAAUUAUUCAUGUGUCAUUUAAGAGGUCUCAGAUUUGAAUUUAUCAUAUGUUAAUCUCAUAUGAUAAUGUUAUGUGAAAAG